AGAACGAACGCUGGCGGCAUGCCUAAUACAUGCAAGUCGAACGAAGGCUUCGGCCUUAGUGGCGCACGGGUGCGUAACGCGUGGGAAUCUGCCCCUUGGUUCGGAAUAACAGUUGGAAACGACUGCUAAUACCGGAUGAUGACGAAAGUCCAAAGAUUUAUCGCCAAGGGAUGAGCCCGCGUAGGAUUAGCUAGUUGGUGAGGUAAAGGCUCACCAAGGCGACGAUCCUUAGCUGGUCUGAGAGGAUGAUCAGCCACACUGGGACUGAGACACGGCCCAGACUCCGUACGGGAGGCAGCAGUAGGGAAUAUGGACAAUGGGCAAAGCCUGAUCCAGCAAUGCCGCGUGAGUGAUGAGGCCUUAGGUGUAAGCUCUUUUACCCGAGAUGAUAAUGACAGUAGUCGGAAGAAGUAACGACCCGGUACUAACGUCCGUGCCGAGACGACGCCGACGGU
rnacentral:rRNA from 1 species